GAAUGAGUACAAUUUAAAUCCCUUAACGAGGAACAAUUGGAGGGCAAGUCUGGUGCCAGCAGCCGCGGUAAUUCCAGCUCCAAUAGCGUAUAUUAAAGUUGUUGCAGUUAAAAAGCUCGUAGUUGAACCUUGGGCCUGGCUGGCCGGUCCGCCUCACCGCGUGUACUGGUCCGGCCGGGCCUUUCCUUCUGGGGAACCUCAUGCCCUUCACUGGGCGUGUUGGGGAACCAGGACUUUUACUUUGAAAAAAUUAGAGUGUUCAAAGCAGGCCUUUGCUCGAAUACAUUAGCAUGGAAUAAUAGAAUAGGACCUUGGUUCUAUUUUGUUGGUCUUCGGAAUCUAAGGUAAUGAUAAGAG
rnacentral:rRNA from 1 species